GGGUUGUGAGGUUAAGCGACUAAGCGUACACGGUGGAUGCCCUGGCAGUCAGAGGCGAUGAAGGACGUGCUAAUCUGCGAUAAGCGUCGGUAAGGUGAUAUGAACCGUUAUAACCGGCGAUUUCCGAAUGGGGAAACCCAGUGUGUUUCGACACACUAUCAUUAACUGAAUCCAUAGGUUAAUGAGGCGAACCGGGGGAACUGAAACAUCUAAGUACCCCGAGGAAAAGAAAUCAACCGAGAUUCCCCCAGUAGCGGCGAGCGAACGGGGAGCAGCCCAGAGCCUGAAUCAGUGUGUGUGUUAGUGGAAGCGUCUGGAAAGGCGCGCGAUACAGGGUGACAGCCCCGUACACAAAAAUGCACAUGCUGUGAGCUCGAUGAGUAGGGCGGGACACGUGGUAUCCUGUCUGAAUAUGGGGGGACCAUCCUCCAAGGCUAAAUACUCCUGACUGACCGAUAGUGAACCAGUACCGUGAGGGAAAGGCGAAAAGAACCCCGGCGAGGGGAGUGAAAAAGAACCUGAAACCGUGUACGUACAAGCAGUGGGAGCCUCUUAAUGGGGUGACUGCGUACCUUUUGUAUAAUGGGUCAGCGACUUAUAUUCUGUAGCAAGGUUAACCGAAUAGGGGAGCCGAAGGGAAACCGAGUCUUAACUGGGCGUUAAGUUGCAGGGUAUAGACCCGAAACCCGGUGAUCUAGCCAUGGGCAGGUUGAAGGUUGGGUAACACUAACUGGAGGACCGAACCGACUAAUGUUGAAAAAUUAGCGGAUGACUUGUGGCUGGGGGUGAAAGGCCAAUCAAACCGGGAGAUAGCUGGUUCUCCCCGAAAGCUAUUUAGGUAGCGCCUCGUGAAUUCAUCUCCGGGGGUAGAGCACUGUUUCGGCAAGGGGGUCAUCCCGACUUACCAACCCGAUGCAAACUGCGAAUACCGGAGAAUGUUAUCACGGGAGACACACGGCGGGUGCUAACGUCCGUCGUGAAGAGGGAAACAACCCAGACCGCCAGCUAAGGUCCCAAAGUCAUGGUUAAGUGGGAAACGAUGUGGGAAGGCCCAGACAGCCAGGAUGUUGGCUUAGAAGCAGCCAUCAUUUAAAGAAAGCGUAAUAGCUCACUGGUCGAGUCGGCCUGCGCGGAAGAUGUAACGGGGCUAAACCAUGCACCGAAGCUGCGGCAGCGACGCUUAUGCGUUGUUGGGUAGGGGAGCGUUCUGUAAGCCUGCGAAGGUGUACUGUGAGGUAUGCUGGAGGUAUCAGAAGUGCGAAUGCUGACAUAAGUAACGAUAAAGCGGGUGAAAAGCCCGCUCGCCGGAAGACCAAGGGUUCCUGUCCAACGUUAAUCGGGGCAGGGUGAGUCGACCCCUAAGGCGAGGCCGAAAGGCGUAGUCGAUGGGAAACAGGUUAAUAUUCCUGUACUUGGUGUUACUGCGAAGGGGGGACGGAGAAGGCUAUGUUGGCCGGGCGACGGUUGUCCCGGUUUAAGCGUGUAGGCUGGUUUUCCAGGCAAAUCCGGAAAAUCAAGGCUGAGGCGUGAUGACGAGGCACUACGGUGCUGAAGCAACAAAUGCCCUGCUUCCAGGAAAAGCCUCUAAGCAUCAGGUAACAUCAAAUCGUACCCCAAACCGACACAGGUGGUCAGGUAGAGAAUACCAAGGCGCUUGAGAGAACUCGGGUGAAGGAACUAGGCAAAAUGGUGCCGUAACUUCGGGAGAAGGCACGCUGAUACGUAGGUGAAGUCCCUUGCGGAUGGAGCUGAAAUCAGUCGAAGAUACCAGCUGGCUGCAACUGUUUAUUAAAAACACAGCACUGUGCAAACACGAAAGUGGACGUAUACGGUGUGACGCCUGCCCGGUGCCGGAAGGUUAAUUGAUGGGGUUAGCGGUAACGCGAAGCUCUUGAUCGAAGCCCCGGUAAACGGCGGCCGUAACUAUAACGGUCCUAAGGUAGCGAAAUUCCUUGUCGGGUAAGUUCCGACCUGCACGAAUGGCGUAAUGAUGGCCAGGCUGUCUCCACCCGAGACUCAGUGAAAUUGAACUCGCUGUGAAGAUGCAGUGUACCCGCGGCAAGACGGAAAGACCCCGUGAACCUUUACUAUAGCUUGACACUGAACAUUGAGCCUUGAUGUGUAGGAUAGGUGGGAGGCUUUGAAGUGUGGACGCCAGUCUGCAUGGAGCCGACCUUGAAAUACCACCCUUUAAUGUUUGAUGUUCUAACGUUGGCCCCUAAUCGGGGUUGCGGACAGUGUCUGGUGGGUAGUUUGACUGGGGCGGUCUCCUCCUAAAGAGUAACGGAGGAGCACGAAGGUUGGCUAAUCCUGGUCGGACAUCAGGAGGUUAGUGCAAUGGCAUAAGCCAGCUUGACUGCGAGCGUGACGGCGCGAGCAGGUGCGAAAGCAGGUCAUAGUGAUCCGGUGGUUCUGAAUGGAAGGGCCAUCGCUCAACGGAUAAAAGGUACUCCGGGGAUAACAGGCUGAUACCGCCCAAGAGUUCAUAUCGACGGCGGUGUUUGGCACCUCGAUGUCGGCUCAUCACAUCCUGGGGCUGAAGUAGGUCCCAAGGGUAUGGCUGUUCGCCAUUUAAAGUGGUACGCGAGCUGGGUUUAGAACGUCGUGAGACAGUUCGGUCCCUAUCUGCCGUGGGCGCUGGAGAACUGAGGGGGGCUGCUCCUAGUACGAGAGGACCGGAGUGGACGCAUCACUGGUGUUCGGGUUGUCAUGCCAAUGGCACUGCCCGGUAGCUAAAUGCGGAAGAGAUAAGUGCUGAAAGCAUCUAAGCACGAAACUUGCCCCGAGAUGAGUUCUCCCUGACUCCUUGAGAGUCCUGAAGGAACGUUGAAGACGACGACGUUGAUAGGCCGGGUGUGUAAGCGCAGCGAUGCGUUGAGCUAACCGGUACUAAUGAACCGUGAGGCUUAACCUUACAACGCCGAAG
rnacentral:rRNA from 1 species